GUAGUAUUCCCUCCGUCAACAAAAGAUGUCUCAAGUUUGUCAAAAUUUGAAUGUAUCUAGACAUGAUAGAUACAUUCAAAUUUAGUAAAAGUUGAGACAUCCUUUGUUGGACUGAGGAAGUAGUAA
rfam:Brachypodium distachyon strain Bd21 chromosome 1, whole genome shotgun sequence.